rnacentral:lncRNA from 1 species
CUCCCCAAGAGGAAGGUGGGAAGUUCUUGGAGGGAAGGAUGCCGGGUGUCUAUUUGGAAACAGCCUCUCUACUCAAGGGUAGGGGUAAGGUAUGCGUACAUACUACCCUCCCCAGACCCCACUAAGUGGGAUUAUACUGGGUUGUUGUUGUUGUAUGUGUGUCGCCUGAAUUCUGACUAUUGAUCAAAUGGAUAUUUCUGAAACAGUAGAUUUAAGAAUGGCAAAACUUUUAUUUGCUUAUGGCGUUUGACUUUACAAAGAGUUAGAUUGUCGAUAACUUCAAAAUACCCAUCUUUAUUUGUUUUAAGAGAAUCCCAUGGUAUUAGUAUCUAUUUCCUUUUGGUUUUGCACUUAAAUGCUGCGCAAGGGUGAACGCAACUUAAAUUGAACACCACAAAAUGGGUUGUAUGCCCUUUAAUUUCCACAUUGAUGCAUAUGAGUAAAUCUAAGCUUAUUCAUUUAGUAGUUAUUUCACCCUAAAUUUGACAUUCUAAGGGGGCCCAGCUCACUCUUAGUCUAGCUUGGUAUUCUGCUGUAAUGCACGCAAACUAUUUUUUUAGGUAAUUUUAUUUCUUUUGAUUGAAAUAGUUACUGCUGCAUGUAAAUGGUGCUUGAAGAUCUAUCUAUUUUUAUGAAUUACCAUCCAACGAAUUGUAUUACCUUUACAGAAGAGGCUUGCGGUGUCUAAUAUUUCUACUUUCUACUUGCAUUUUGAGUUCAGGGGACAUUGCACUCUCGGUUCCUCUUCAUGUGGAUAUAACUUCCUUGAAGUGUCAAACAUAAAUAAUAAUUUUCAGUAUUUCAUUUAAAAUGUCAUAAUUUACGUCCCUCCGACUUUUUCUUCUAGUUGUGAUCUAUUCUCUGCUACAUAAUGUUUCACGGAAAAUAGUUUCCAGUUAUAUGCUUCCAUCCAAAGUUUUAUGCAACUUUCAAGUUUCAGCACAAAUGUGUCUGUAACUCGCUUGAACUUCAAAAGGAGUUAAUUGUCUUUCUCAUUCAAAUUCAAAAGGGAAAAUUCUGGAUCAAAUUUUAGAAGGAUUAAUUUUUAUUUUCAAUCUGGCUUCUUUACUGCACUUGUAUGAUUCACCACGACUGAUCCUGAAAGGGAAUGAAUGGUAAAAAUAGCAUGUCGUAUCAACGGAAAGUUCUGAGAAUAUUUCAUUGUUCCUAAAUGGGUAUAAAACCAUGUUAGAAUUCUUGGAACGGAACAAAAUAAAGUCCACUGGGGUGGUGGUUGUUGUAAUCUGGCCUCUUAAAUCUCCUUACUGUUUGUUUCCAG